GACGAACCGUGCGAACGUUGUUCGGAAUCACUGGGCUUAAAGGGCGCGUAGGCGGGUCGCCAAGUUUGGGGUGAAAUCCUCCCGCUCAACGGGAGAACGGCCUUGAAUACUGGCGAUCUCGAGGGGGAUAGGGGCAUGCGGAACUACGGGUGGAGCGGUGAAAUGCGUUGAUAUCCGUAGGAACUCCGGUGGCGAAGGCGGCGUGCUGGAUCCCUUCUGACGCUGAGGCGCGAAAGCCAGGGGAGCAAACGGG
rnacentral:rRNA from 3 species